GGGGAUGAGUGGUUUCGACAGGGCCGGAUUCCCGGAGGACGCGAGCCGAGGUGCCGUCAGGCCUCGUUAAACAGACGGCAAACGAAGUAACUGGCAACCGCCAGCCUUCUCUCGCUUACGCCGCCUAAGGCGACCAAGUGAGCGUGGAAGCAGCCUCAUCCCCGUGGGCUGUGGAAGCGUCAUUCAGCGGGGAUGCGCGGUCGGUGAUGUCACGUAGCCGAUCGCAAAGCCCGCAAGGGACGUGGCUGGACCGAUCGGGACGCUGUCGAUGGUGGCUCGAUCGGUUGACGACAAAGCAUCGGACACGCUCGUAGCUGGUCUCCGGCUGAAGGUUCUGGACGGGGAGUUCGACUCUCCCCCAUCUCCACCA
rnacentral:tmRNA from 1 species